rnacentral:rRNA from 1 species
AUACGUAGGUGGCGAGCGUUGUCCGGAAUUAUUGGGCGUAAAGGGUGCGUAGGCGGUCUAUUAAGUCUGAUUUGAAAGGUCAUGGCUUAACCAUGGAAUUGGAUUGGAAACUGGUAGACUUGAGUGCAGAAGAGGAAGGUGGAAUUCCAUGUGUAGCGGUGAAAUGCGUAGAGAUAUGGAGGAACACCAGUGGCGAAGGCGGCCUUCUGGUCUGCAACUGACGCUGAUGCACGAAAGCGUGGGUAGCAAACAGGAUUAGAUACCCUGGUAGUCCACGCCGUAAACGAUGAGUACUAAGUGUUGGGGGAAACCUCGGUGCUGAAGUUAACGCAUUAAGUACUCCGCCUGGGAAGUACGGUCGCAAGACUGAA